UACGAAGGGGGCUAGCGUUGUUCGGAAUUACGUGGGCGUAAAGCGCACGUAGGCGGACUAUUAAGUCAGGGGUGAAAUCCCGGGGCUCAACCCCGGAACUGCCUUUGAUACUGGUAGUCUCGAGUCCGGAAGAGGUGAGUGGAAUUCCGAGUGUAGAGGUGAAAUUCGUAGAUAUUCGGAGGAACACCAGUGGCGAAGGCGGCUCACUGGUCCGGUACUGACGCUGAGGUGCGAAAGCG
rnacentral:rRNA from 1 species